rnacentral:lncRNA from 1 species
GUAAAGUGGCAGAAGCUGGGACCAUCCAACUCUAAAGCCCACAUUCUUAGACAUUAGGGGAUAUUGAAUGAAGUGUGUGUAUGUAUGGGGGAAUUUAAGAGAAUAUCAAACCAUUUGUAGAGUUCUACCCAAUAUAGAGACCUUAUCUAAUGUAAGAGAACUCUGAAGACAUCUCAUUGAUUGAAUGCUCUCCCCUUCAUAGCAACUUCUUCUGCGGCUUCCUUGCCUGGUGCUCCAGUCUUUGAGGGAAGCACGGCUGGCACGUUCUUCCGUUUGGAGACAUGGUUGACAAUUUCUCCAUAAUGGGGACACAACUGGCAAUUUUCCUACAGAGUGAGGCAGAUGGCAAUUUUCCUUCAGAGACAUGCAGGCAACAGUUUUGCCCCUGGAGAGAAAAGCCUCGCCGAUUGAGAUGCAGCCAGUAAUUUUUACUAUACAGAAGACACAUCCAAUAAUUUUGCCCAGUGAGAGAAACGGCCAACAAUUUUCCCACAGAGGACAGGAAAAACAGACCAAAAAUUCAUAGUGGGGAGAAGUGAGGAGCAAAUGGGCUGGUAUGACCAAGAAAGACUUAAUAAGAAGCUGAGCCUUAAAUGAUCAAGAAGCACUGGAUAGAUAAGAGCACUGUUCACAAUAGCCAAGAUUUGGAAGCAACCUAAGUGUUCACCAACUGAUGAAUGGAUAAAGAAAA